AUUGAACGCUGGCGGCAUGCCUUACACAUGCAAGUCGAACGGCAGCGGACCUUCGGGUGCCGGCGCGUGGCGAACGGGUGAGUAAUGCAUCGGAACGUACCUUUCAGUGGGGGAUAACGUAGCGAAAGUUACGCUAAUACCGCAUAUUCUGUGAGCAGGAAAGCAGGGGAGCGCAAGACCUUGCGCUGAUUGAGCGGCCGAUAUCAGAUUAGCUAGUUGGUGAGGUAAAGGCUCACCAAGGCGACGAUAUGUAGCGGGUCUGAGAGGAUGAUCCGCCACACUGGAACUGAGACACGGUCCAGACUCCUACGGGAGGCAGCAGUGGGGAAUUUUGGACAAUGGGGGCAACCCUGAUCCAGCCAUGCCGCGUGAGUGAAGAAGGCCUUCGGGUUGUAAAGCUCUUUCGGCCGGGAAGAAAUCGCACGGGCUAAUACCCUGUGUGGAUGACGGUACCGGAAUAAGAAGCACCGGCUAACUACGUGCCAGCAGCCGCCGUAACAC
rnacentral:rRNA from 1 species